GUUGACCUCGAAUCAGGUAGGAAUACCCGCUGAACU
rnacentral:rRNA from 3 species